ensembl:snoRNA small nucleolar RNA, C/D box 60
AGCCUGUGAUGAAUUGCUUUUAUUUCUGACACCUCGUAUGAAAACUGCACAUGCAGUCUGAUUAUUUGGCAAGACUGAGGCUU